rnacentral:rRNA from 1 species
AACGAACGCUGGCGGCGUGUCUUAAGCAUGCAAGUCGAGCGGCAAGGGUAGCAAUACCCCUAGAGCGGCGGACUGGUGAGUAACACGUGGGUGAUCUACCUCAGGGUUGGGGAUAGCCAUUAGAAAUAGUGGGUAAUACCGAAUACGUUCCGUUGACUACGGUCAGCGGAGGAAAGGCGCUACGGCGCCGCCCCGAGAUGAGCCCGCGCCCCAUUAGCUAGUUGGUGAGGUAAUGGCCCACCAAGGCUAUGAUGGGUAGCGGCCUGAGAGGGUGUACGCCCCACAUUGGGACUGAGAUACGGCCCAAACUCCUAC